GUUUAGCUAUGUGAAUUGUUUUUUUCCACCUGAUAAUCCAUAAUUAUGAGUUUGCCUAGCAAGUAUUGCACAUUUUCUCUUGAACAUUCUCAAAUUUGAUAAUCUUGUUACUUCUAAAUUAUUCAGAGUUGGCAUAUGCUGAAAGAAACACUUUGAGAAGAAGACAAAUUACACUCUGGUUACUAACCGUGACAUUUCGUUGGAAGAGAUUUUGUUCUCGGUGAUUGGGCAUAGUGAUUUUGAUGCAUCGCCUGAUCUCAUUCUCACAAAGGAUAUCAAUGGGGUGAAUGCCGGUACUCAACCUAUUGAUGCACACGGACAUGAUGACUCUCUAGCGUUUAUGGACCAAACAACCUGUAAUCAUGGACCUUAUUGUCUUGUAGACCAUUUGGUGUUUCGAGUGUUUCGGAGCUUGUACUUUGUGCAUGUAGAUACAAACAUGUGUGUUCUGGACCAUCUGAAGUCUGUCAUAGUAACCAAUAGUCCUUAUCUUUUUUUGACUUGUGUGUUCUAGAUGAUUGUUAAGAUGGUCAAAACUAUGCUUCCUCUAGGU